rnacentral:rRNA from 1 species
UACAGAGGGGGCGAGCGUUGUUCGGAAUUACUGGGCGUAAAGGGCGCGUAGGCGGCCUUCUAAGUCGAACGUGAAAUCCCCGGGCUCAACCCGGGAACUGCGUCCGAUACUGGGAGGCUUGAAUCCGGGAGAGGGAUGUGGAAUUCCAGGUGUAGCGGUGAAAUGCGUAGAUAUCAGGAAGAACACCCGUGGCGAAAGCGGCUCUCUGGAACGGUACUGACGCUGAGACGCGAAAGCGUGGGGAGCGAACAGG